rnacentral:rRNA from 1 species
AGCGAACGCUGGCGGCAGGCCUAACACAUGCAAGUCGAACGAAGUCUUCGGACUUAGUGGCGGACGGGUGAGUAACACGUGGGAACGUGCCUUUAGGUUCGGAAUAACUCAGGGAAACUUGUGCUAAUACCGAAUGUGCCCUUCGGGGGAAAGAUUGAUCGCCUUUAGAGCGGCCCGCGUAUGAUUAGCUAGUUGGUGAGGUAAAGGCUCACCAAGGCGACGAUCAGUAGCUGGUCUGAGAGGAUGACCAGCAACAUGGGGACUGAGACCCGGCCCAAACUCCGACGGGAGGCAGCAGGGGGGAAUCUUGCGCAAUGGGCGAAAGCCUGAAGCAGCCAGGCCGCGUGAAAGAUGAAGGUCUUAGGAAUGUAAAAUUCUUUCACCGGGGACGAUAAUGACGGUACCCGGGGAAGAAGCCCCGGCAAACUUCGUGCCAGCCGCCGUGGUAAAAC